GACGAACGCUGGCGGCGUACCUAAUACAUGCAAGUAGAACGCUGAAGAGAGGAGCUUGCUCUUCUUGGAUGAGUUGCGGACGGGUGAGUAACGCGUAGGUAACCUGCCUUGUAGCGGGGGAUAACUACUGGAAACGAUAGCUAAUACCGCAUAACAAUUGAUGACCCAUGUUAUUUAUUUGAAAGGCGCAAAUGCUCCACUACAAGAUGGACCUGCGUUGUAUUAGCUAGUAGGUGAGGUAACGGCUCACCUAGGCGACGAUAGAGAGCCGACCUGAGAGGGGGGACCGCCAAACUGGGAAUUGGGACACGGCCAAGACUCCUACGGGGGGAGGAGUAGGGGAUCCUUGGGCAAGGGGGGAAAGCUUGACGGGGCAAGGCGGGGGGGGGGAGGAAGGUUUCGGAUCGGAAAGAUCCGGUGUUUGGGAAGGAAGAGAGUGGGAGUGGAAAGUUCACGCUGUGACGGUAGCUUACCAGAAAGCGACGGCUAACUACGUG
rnacentral:rRNA from 1 species